UACGUAGGGGGCGAGCGUUGUCCGGAUUUAUUGGGCGUAAAGAGCGUGUAGGCGGCCAGGUAGGUCUGCUGUGAAAACUCGAGGCUCAACCUCGAGACGUCGGCGGAAACCAUCUGGCUAGAGUCCGGAAGAGGAGAGUGGAAUUCCUGGUGUAGCGGUGAAAUGCGCAGAUAUCAGGAGGAACGCCAAUGGCGAAGGCAGCUCGCUGGGACGGUACUGACGCUGAGGCGCGAAAGCGUGGGGAGCGAACAGG
rnacentral:rRNA from 1 species